AAUAGAUACCCAGGUAGUCCACGCCGUAAACGAUGAGUGCUAAGUGUUAGAGGGUUUCCGCCCUUUAGUGCUGCAGCUAACGCAUUAAGCACUCCGCCUGGGGAGUACGGCCGCAAGGCUGAAACUCAAAGGAAUUGACGGGGGCCCGCACAAGCGGUGGAGCAUGUGGUUUAAUUCGAAGCAACGCGAAGAACCUUACCAGGUCUUGACAUCCUCUGCUACUUCUAGAGAUAGAAGGUUCCCCUUCGGGGGACGGAGUGACAGGUGGUGCAUGGUUGUCGUCAGCUCGUGUCGUGAGAUGUUGGGUUAAGUCCCGCAACGAGCGCAACCCUUGACCUUAGUUGCCAGCAUUCAGUUGGGCACUCUAAGGUGACUGCCGGUGACAAACCGGAGGAAGGUGGGGAUGACGUCAAAUCAUCAUGCCCCUUAUGACCUGGGCUACACACGUGCUACAAUGGACGGUACAAAGGGCUGCGAAACCGCGAGGUGGAGCCAAUCCCAGAAAACCGUUCUCAGUUCGGAUUGCAGGCUGCAACUCG
rnacentral:rRNA from 1 species